UCAGGAUGAACGCGGGCGGCGUGCCUAAUACAUGCAAGUCGAGCGAAUGGAUUAAGAGCUUGCUCUUAUGAAGUUAGCGGCGGACGGGUGAGUAACACGUGGGUAACCUGCCCAUAAGACUGGGAUAACUCCGGGAAACCGGGGCUAAUACCGGAUAACAUUUUGAACCGCAUGGUUCGAAAUUGAAAGGCGGCUUCGGCUGUCACUUAUGGAUGGACCCGCGUCGCAUUAGCUAGUUGGUGAGGUAACGGCUCACCAAGGCAACGAUGCGUAGCCGACCUGAGAGGGUGAUCGGCCACACUGGGACUGAGACACGGCCCAGACUCCUACGGGAGGCAGCAGUAGGGAAUCUUCCGCAAUGGACGAAAGUCUGACGGAGCAACGCCGCGUGAGUGAUGAAGGCUUUCGGGUCGUAAAACUCUGUUGUUAGGGAAGAACAAGUGCUAGUUGAAUAAGCUGGCACCUUGACGGUACCUAACCAGAAAGCCACGGCUAACUACGUGCCAGCAGCCGCGGUAAUACGUAGGUGGCAAGCGUUAUCCGGAAUUAUUGGGCGUAAAGCGCGCGCAGGUGGUUUCUUAAGUCUGAUGUGAAAGCCCCCGGCUCAACCGUGGAGGGUCAUUGGAAACUGGGAGACUUGAGUGCAGAAGAGGAAAGUGGAAUUCCAUGUGUAGCGGUGAAAUGCGUAGAGAUAUGGAGGAACACCAGUGGCGAAGGCGACUUUCUGGUCUGUAUCUGACACUCAGGCGCGAAAGAGUGGGGAGCAAACCCGAUUAGAUACCCUGGUAGUCCACGCCC
rnacentral:rRNA from 1 species